rnacentral:rRNA from 1 species
UGCCAGCCGCCGCGGUAAUACGAAGGGACCUAGCGUAGUUCGGAAUUACUGGGCUUAAAGGGUCCGUAGGCGGUCUAAUAAGUCAGAGGUGAAAUCCUACAGCUCAACUGUAGCAUUGCCUUUGAUACUGUUAGACUUGAGUUAUUGUGAAGUAGUUAGAAUGUGUAGUGUAGCGGUGAAAUGCAUAGAUAUUACACAGAAUACCGAUUGCGAAGGCAGAUUACUAACAAUAUACUGACGCUGAGGGACGAAAGCGUGGGUAGCGAACAGGAUUAGAUA